GUGGCUCCAUGGUAGAGCAUCUGCUCGGCAUGCAGAAGAUCCCAGGUUCAAUCCCCAUCAUCUCCA
rnacentral:tRNA from 1 species